AGAGAAAAAAAACCCUGCAUCUCUGAGGCCUAGACUGGAAACUUGCCACCGUUGUGGGGAUGCAUUAAAGAGAAAUAAACGGAAUGGUUCUCGAGACAAGCAGAGAGGCAGUGAUGCCUCCUCUCCACCUGCCAAGGAGUCCAUGUGCCAGUCCAUUCAGAGCUCGCUGUUCUUCACCCACAGUGAACCAAGACCACUUCAGUCUGCCGAAAUCCUUUUCCUACUGAAAAUGAGGAAGGUACUGAGUGGUAUCUUGGAGUGGUUCCUCUAGCUGUCCAUCAC
rnacentral:lncRNA from 1 species